rnacentral:lncRNA from 1 species
CUGACUGCUGGUGGGGGCGAGCCGCGGCGGUGGGCGGAGCGAGCCGCGCGUGUGGGCGGGGCGUGCCGCCGCGGAGGGCGGGGCGUGCCGCUGGGACUUCCCCUGGGUUGAGCUGCGCAGCGGGUGCGCGGGGAAUGGUGUGGCGGGUCGGGGCGGCGAGCCACGCGGGUGGACUUGGGGAGACCCUUGGUAUUCCUGGCUGGGUCUCUUAUCCCGGGAUUGGCCUCGGACUGGAGGGCGUUGCUGGCGGGCUGGGAGCCGCUUGGCCGCUGCUCGCACGACCGUGGCGAGCAUGCGUGCGUGCGCGUGUUCCAGCGAGGCCGCGCGGCUGUCCUCUCAGUCUGUCCUCCUCUGUCCCUCAGUUAGGGAACCCGAGCGCACAUCGGGGCGGGAUUUUGGCCAAAUUGGGCGAGGGUACAAUAUUACCACUUACCCCUUCUCACCGAAGAAGAGCGGGAGAAAGGCAGACACUGGAGUCUGGGUAAUGCUGUGUUCCAUCUGCCUUGGUCUCCAGGCUUCACUGCGUGAGCUUCUUUGUACUGUGGCCUCUUGGCUGUAUUUGUUUACCUAUUUAUUUAUUUAAUUUAUAUUUCUACCUUGUCCUUUGUUGUCAUUUCAGCAAGGGCGGCUUGUAUUUGCAGGUGUGAGCAUCAUGCGUUCAUGCUUUUAUGUUA